ensembl:lncRNA
GGAUAUUGUAAGAUUCAGAAGUCAUAUUUUGAAAUGCAUUCAAUCAGAAAGCGCUUUCUUGUGUUCUGAGACCAUCUUACCACAAAGUUACGAAGAAGUGGAACAAGCCAUCCACACACUUGUUACACUAGAACAGAUUCCUCAACAUGGUAUUAUUCUACUUGAAGAACUUGGUGAUUUAAUAAUGAACCAUGUAACACAGAGCAGAGAGCACCUCCACUCCAUAUUGCAAUUCCUCUUGCGAUAUCUGCACAGAAUUGGGGUUAUUAUUUGGUAUGAAGAUAUUGAUGUGCUAAGUGACCGAGUGUUUAUCCAGCCUUCAUUCCUCAUUUCUAUGUUCAAGACCAUUGUGAGACAUGACCUGGUGCAGCAGCUUGAGGGAAUCUCAAGAGACCUACUCAUGCAAGAAGGAGCUCUAAUGAAACAAAAGUUCAUCUGGGUGGAGGACUUGCGGUCCAGAGGCACCCUGCACAAUGCAGCCCUCCGCAUUUUAGUCCGGAGGGAGUUAGAGAAACUGGUCAUAGAUGAUGAUGACUUGGUCAGAGAGGUAGUAGGAAACAAAAGGGAGGAAGGCAUCAUUCUCACCCUGUUGCAGCACUUUGAGGUUUGCCUCCCAACUCUUGUCAGAAGCCCCAUGAACCCCCAAGCACCAGAGUUCAUUCCAGGAGAAAAGCACUGGGAAUCAGGCAGGGAGUCGAAGAGAGACCCUGAUGGAGCUUGCCUCUUCCCCAUUUAUCUGAAGGAUGACCUCAUAGUAUGUCAGAAAUGGGGUGAGAACAAACAGGAUGAUCUCAGAGUGCACGUGUACAUCCUUCCUGAGGUUCCACAUGGCUUCUUUCACAGAGUUUCGGCAGAUGUGGGAUCUGAUCUUGGCAGUGAUGUCCAAGCUGUUUGGGCUGUCAAGGCAGUGGCCGGGACUGACCCAGCAGGUGCACACACCCUGUCCAGAGAGAGGCUGUCUGCAUUAUUUUACCUGGAGGGACUGGCAGGAAUUGAACAACACCAACCUUUACAGUCUUGUGAAGGAGGAAAAAUUAGUUUGCCAGGGAGGCCAUACACGACGAACAGAACUGAUUUUUCCAAAAGCUGCCACUUUGCAGUGAUGACUAUGAAAAUGACGUCAAAGAAGACAAACACAGCAUCACAACCUCUUCAGCAAUUUUAAAGUGGCAAAAUGUUUUUUGUGCUAGUCAAUUUUAUCUCCUUUUUUAGGUGACUGAUAUGAGUAUUAUUUGGAAACUAUUUUGUGGCAAGUGUCACUCUGAGUAUGAGGUUCAGGGCUGAGGCUGAUUUUGUAACAGCUGUUUUGCAAUAGAUGUAUUACAAAAUACUCCAGAAGACUACUUGCAUUUCUGUUUUUAAUAUGCAGCGUUUCGGUGUUUAUGUGUACAAUGGCAGCCUCUGCUGGCCCUUGACGACUGUCGUCUAUGUUUGUCUUUGUGAAGACAAGUUGUACACCUUACAGUGUUACAUGACAAAUUACAACUGCUGCAUGUAAAAUAUUUAAGCUGAUCUUUAAUAAUAUGAUAGUCCAAAUCAAUCCGGUCCUGUAAAAACUCCUGAUAUCUGCUUGCCACCCCUGUAUUUCUCUAGUUUUUCAUCAGGUUCUCAAAACUCACUUCUAGUGCUGGCUAAUGCUGCUGCCUUCAGGGUUUACUCGUAAAUGUCUUGAAGAAGGUUUUAUUGUUUAAUCCUUGUAGUCAAAAGAAAUUACAUGUUAUUAUCACAC